rnacentral:rRNA from 1 species
UACGAAGGGUGCAAGCGUUACUCGGAAUUACUGGGCGUAAAGCGUGCGUAGGUGGUGAUUUAAGUCAGAUGUGAAAGCCCUGGGCUCAACCUGGGAACUGCAUUUGAUACUGGGUCACUAGAGUGCGGUAGAGGAUAGCGGAAUUCCUGGUGUAGCAGUGAAAUGCGUAGAGAUCAGGAGGAACAUCCGUGGCGAAGGCGGCUAUCUGGGCCAGCACUGACACUGAGGCACGAAAGCGUGGGGAGCAAACAGG